CGUAUUUACUUGCAUUCCUGUGUGAGUUAACCCUGUGUGCGUGCUUACAAUAUGACCACACACAUAUACACACUCACACUCCCUUUACCUGCAUGUGAAUACUGUAAUGCAAUCGCCUCCCCACCAACGCUGUACAUCCUGUUGAUGUCAUCUGCCACCUCCUUAUUAAAGUGAUUUGAACUACG